GGAUGGGUGGCCGAGUGGUUUAAGGCAGCGGUCUUGAAAACCGCCAACCCGCAAGGGUUCGUGGGUUCGAAUCCCACCCCAUCCGCCA
rnacentral:tRNA from 2 species